UCAAAAAAUCUGCAAAAAAAUUGAAUCAAUAGAAAAAAAGUUAAACCCAAAUAAAUUAAUUUCCUCUUAAACAACAAGCCUCAAAUUCAAUACCCAAAACCUAAACUCCAAAUUCGAAGAAUCCAGAAAAAAUUCAAGCAAAAUCAAGCUUGUGAUAGGUUUGGCAGAAGAAACCGGAAUAACUAAAGCCGCCACCGCAUAAACUGCAGACUUACUCCCACAUGACAACGUCCGUGACCGAAUCUCGAUCACAUUCACCAUUGAACGCAUAAAAAACAAGCACCCCAUAAUGGACCCCACAGCCGAACCCAUCAUCCCAAAUCUCAAAACUUUAAGGUUAAUGUGGACCCUGAAAGCUUCAUCGACAUCUUUACCAUUCAACAGAUCGAUGGUAAGUUUUAAACCCUGAGCUACUGGUGACAAGAAAAGGAAGAAAUUGAAGAAGACAACCUCGAAGACUAAGAGCUUUUUUGCUACGUCGAUGUCGGUGUCGCAGGGGGAUCGAUUCUUGAGGCUAUGUUGGCCUCGGGUGGUUAAAGAAAGACCCACGAAGACUGACGAUGCAGAGGGAGUUAACGUUUGCAAGCUUCGAUUUUGCUUAAAUUUCUUCUUGGUUUUUUGAAUUUGAGAUUUAAGAUUGGAGUAUUAAAUUUACAGUUGAUUGUUUAAGAAAUAAUUAAUUUGUUUAGAAUUUAUUUAUUAUUUAUUUUUUAUCACAUAAACAAUUCAUAUUAUGCUUAC
rnacentral:lncRNA from 1 species